CAUGAACUUAGCUUGCUAAGUUUGAUGGCGACCGGCGCACGGGUGAGUAACACGUAUCCAACCUGCCGAUGACUCGGGGAUAGCCUUUCGAAAGAAAGAUUAAUACCCGAUGGCAUAGUUCUUCCGCGUGGUGGAACUAUUAAAGAAUUUCGGUCAUCGAUGGGGAUGCGUUCCAUUAGGUUGUUGGCGGGGUAACGGCCCACCAAGCCUUCGAUGGAUAGGGGUUCUGAGAGGAAGGUCCCCCACAUUGGAACUGAGACACGGUCCAAACUCCUACGGGAGGCAGCAGUGAGGAAUAUUGGUCAAUGGACGAGAGUCUGAACCAGCCAAGUAGCGUGAAGGAUGACUGCCCUAUGGGUUGUAAACUUCUUUUAUACGGGAAUAAAGUGAGGCACGUGUGCCUUUUUGUAUGUACCGUAUGAAUAAGGAUCGGCUAACUCCGUGCCAGCAGCCGCGGUAAUACGGAGGAUCCGAGCGUUAUCCGGAUUUAUUGGGUUUAAAGGGAGCGUAGGCGGACGCUUAAGUCAGUUGUGAAAGUUUGCGGCUCAACCGUAAAAUUGCAGUUGAUACUGGGUGUCUUGAGUACAGUAGAGGCAGGCGGAAUUCGUGGUGUAGCGGUGAAAUGCUUAGAUAUCACGAAGAACUCCGAUUGCGAAGGCAGCUUGCUGGACUGU
rnacentral:rRNA from 1 species